rnacentral:lncRNA from 1 species
CUUCUUCUUCUUCUUCUUUGUCUUUCUUCUUCUUCUUCUUUGUCUUUCUUCUUCUUCUUCUUCUUCUUCUUCUUUCUUCUUCUUCUUUGUCUUUCUUCUUCGUCUUUCUUCUUCUUCUUUGUCUUUCGUCUUCUUUCUUCUUCUUCUUCUUCUUCUUCUUCUUUCUUCUUCUUCUUCUUCUUCUUUCUUCUUCUUCUUUCUUCUUCUUCUUCUUUCUUCUUCUUUCUUCUUCUUCUUCUUUCUUCUUCUUCUUUCUUCUUCUUCUUUCUUCUUCUUCUUUCUUCUUCUUUCUUCUUUCUUCUUUCUUCUUCUUCUUUCUUCUUCUUUCUUCUUCUUCUUCUUCUUCUUCUUCUUUUUCUUCUUUCUUCUUUUUCUUCUUCUUCUUCUUUCUUCUUCUUCUUUCUUCUUCUUUCUUCUUCUUUCUUCUUCUUUCUUCUUCUUCUUUCUUCUUCUUUCUUCUUCUUCUUCUUUUUCUUUUUCUUCUUUUUCUUCUUCUUCUUCUUCUGUCUUCUUCUUCUUUCUUCUUCUUUCUUCUUCUUCUUCUUUCUUCUUCUUCUUCUUUUUCUUCUUCUUUCUUCUUUCUUCUUCUUCUUUCUUCUUCUUCUUCUUCUUCUUCUUCUUCUUCUUCUUCUUCUUCUUCUUCUUCUUCUUCUUCUUCUUCUUCUUCUUCUUCUGUCUUCUUCUUCUUCUCCUUCUACUCCUCCUCCUCCUCCUUCUCCUCCUCCUCCUUCUUUUGUUUGAUAGCUUUGGAAUUUGGCAAUUACAUUCCUGGGAGUUGUCUUUUGGGGGUUUAGUGUAGAAGGUGUUCUGUGAGCUCUGUCAGUGGCUGUAUUGCCCCCUUGUUCUAGAAUCUCUGGGCAAUUUUCUUUGAUUAUAUCUUGUAUCACCAUGUCCAGUUUGGUGUUUAUUUCUGGCUUUUCUGGGAGUCCAAUUAUUCUUAAAUUAUCCCUUCUCCCCCUAUUUUCCAGAUCUAUCACCUUGUCGGUGAGAUAUUUUAUGUUCUCUUCUAAUUUCUUGGUAUUUUGGCUUUGCUUUAUUGAUUCUUGCUCUUUUACACGAUCGUUGUCUUCCAGCUGCCUGAUUCUGGCCUUUAAAGCCUGGUUUUCUUUUACAGUUUGGUCAAACUGGUUUUGUAGAUGCGUGAAUUUCUUUUGCAUUAUUUCCAACUUUUCCUCCCUGAAGGCUUCCAUCUUUUUGGUCAUUUCUGAUUCAAAUUCUUCAUAGGUUUGUGGAGAGUUUCCAUUUCCUUUGGAAGGUUUUGGAGCAUUUUCUUUUAUAUUAUCUUCUGUCUGCUCUGUAUUUUGUAUUUUGGCUCCAUAGAAUGUGUCCAAAGUCGCCCCUUUCUUCUUAUUUUUCUUGGUAUUUUGGGGCUUCUGUGGUUCUGUGGAGUUUGCCAUUUCUGAAUGUGGAGGAUUAGUUUUUCUUGUCUCUGUCUGGUGUUCAGAGGCAGUCCUGGGCAGAUGGUUCUAUGAGCUUUCCCUGGGUUAAACUGAAUAUGCCUCACUGGAACUGGAAUGGAAGGGUCAGACCACGAGGCCACACUCUCCCCCCGGCUCGCUUUCCGGAAGUUGCCUUCAGAAUCGCUGGCCGUGAGGCUGUUUCGUCAGCCUGCAGGGGGAUGGGCUGCAGCUAGCCCAAGCUCUGAGGGCGAGGACUUUCACUGAGACUUGGAUAGCAGGAUCCAGCCCGUGAGGCUGUCUUGCCCGCCCUGAGGGUUGCUGUUGUUUCGACCAGCUCUCUGCAGAGGAAGCCCCAGGCAGUAACUUUCACCGGGACUGUAGAAGGCCUGAGGGUUCUGC